GCGAAUGUGGCCGAGUCUGGUUUAUGGCGGCGCACCUGAAAUGCGCUGACGGGCAACCGUCCAUAGGUUCAAAUCCUAUCGUUCGCG
rnacentral:tRNA from 1 species